rnacentral:rRNA from 1 species
UGGGGAAUAUUGGGCAAUGGGCGAAAGCCUGACCCAGCAACGCCGCGUGAGUGAUGAAGGCCUUCGGGUUGUAAAACUCUUUGGACAGGGACGAAGAAAGUGACGGUACCUGUAGAACAAGCCACGGCUAACUACGUGCCAGCAGCCGCGGUAAUACGUAGGGGGCUAGCGUUAUCCGGAUUUACUGGGCGUAAAGGGUGCGUAGGUGGUCUUUCAAGUCGGUGGUUAAAGGCUACGGCUCAACCGUAGUUAGCCUCCGAAACUGGAAGACUUGAGUGCAGGAGAGGAAAGUGGAAUUCCCAGUGUAGCGGUGAAAUGCGUAGAUAUUGGGAGGAACACCAGUAGCGAAGGCGGCUUUCUGGACUGCAACUGACACUGAGGCACGAAAGCGUGGGUAGCAAACAGG